UACGUAGGGUGCGAGCGUUAAUCGGAAUUACUGGGCGUAAAGCGUGCGCAGGCGGUUUUUUAAGCCAUAUGUGAAAGCCCCGGGCUUAACCUGGGAAUGGCAUUUGGGACUGCAAGGCUGGAGUGUGGCAGAGGAGACUGGAAUUCCUGGUGUAGCAGUGAAAUGCGUAGAUAUCAGGAGGAAUACCGAUGGCGAAGGCAGGUCUCUGGGCUGACACUGACGCUCAUGCACGAAAGCGUGGGGAGCAAACAGG
rnacentral:rRNA from 1 species